AUAAAAGACCCAAACCAAACAAAUAUUUACCAAACGCAUACCAAAAAUGAAAAAAAAUAAAAGUUAUUCGAGAGAGAGAACGACGGAGAGUCUGAAACCCUAAAAUAUGGAUUUCAUCGCCAUCGCCGGUCAAUUCCUUGCCGCCAUUGCCGCCAAGUUUCCUCCGUCAACAGCUCAACGCGUCACCCGCUGGAGUUAUGAAUGGAGGACGAGGUGAUUGUGGAGCCUCUCAAUUCGUGGAGCUCUUGCCUCUCAGGAUAGUACUUCAGGGAAGAUUUCAUUCAAAUCGUUGAGAUAAUGCUUAGAUAUUCCGUUUCUACGUCGUCUUUGAUGGCGGCUUCUUUCGCUGGUUCUGAUUUUGCUCUGGCAGCUUGAAGCACUCACAGCACAGUUUCUUCGCAGACUCGGUGGCACUGGCUGAGGAGAUCUAGAAAGUGAGCGAGCUGGAGUCUUUGGAAGCUUCGAUUGAAGCUGCAUUCGAAGCUAUUAGAUCUCGUGGAACUAAUUCUCAUGCCGUUCCAAGUCAUUACGGAAUUGACUGGUUUGAGUAAGCAGACCAAGUGAAUGUAGAAGGGCCUAGGGUUCGAUCUAAUCCCAAAUUGGAUAUAAUUUGGAAGAAAUACUUAACAAGGUUGGAGAAUUUAAGCGCCUGCUUGGUGUUAAACCAACUCCUAAGAAGGAACUGAUAGGUGCAACCAUUGUGACUCAUCCAAAAUCAUUGAAAUAUCCAAAGGAGUUUGAUGCAAGGACUCAAUGGUCUCAGUGUAGUACCAUUGGAAGAAUUAUAGGAGGUGCUGAAUCUCCCCCCCCCUCAUAUUCAUAAUAACAUGGAUUGGUGAAUCAAUGUCUGCAUUGAAGAUCAGGGUCAUUGUGGUUCUUGUUGGGCAUUUGGUGCUGUAGAGUCAUUAUCAGAUCAAUUUUGCAUUCAUUUUGAUGUGGGAGAAUGAUGAUCUCGGCCAUGCAAUGUCACGAUCUUCAGUAGAAGAUUUAGAGCAACCAAAUGGUAGGUAAUUAAUUUUCAAAGAAAUGUUUAGUUCCAUGCUAUCAUGAUCCUUCUGACCACAACUUUUUAAACUUUGAUUUUAUUGUUAGCACAUGAAGGAUAUAAUUUGGGGACAGACAAUGAUGAUUAUGGAAAAGCACUUCAAGAUAGUUUGAACUCAUCUGCAUACCCUCCAUAUUUUACUUGUUAUCUUUUUAAACUUUGAUUUUAUUUUUAUGCUUUAUUGAACUUUAUUGAAUUUAUUCACUAUUACAUGCUUUAUUAUAUCUUACUGAAAUGAUGUUUGUACUAGUUUAGUAUUUUUUGUAUACAGCUCUCUUUUACAUUUUCUUUUUCUUUUUAUAACAUAAAAGACAAAUUUAAACUAAUCCACUUUUUAGUCACUCCGAAAAUCUAAUGGCUUUGUGAAAUAUAUGGGCUUUCAGGUACUCAAGAAGAACGAUUGUUCUUUACAAAAGAUUCUUCAGGACAACUAGAAUACUUUAAUCAGCCAAAUUGAUUUUAGUGCUUUAUAUAGUUGUGAGUGGGUUUUGUGUUUUGAUAUUUUGUUUUUGCCUUCUCUUUAUUUUGUUUUUCCCUUGUGUAAAAUAUCUUAUUUUUGGUUGCAAAUAUCAAUACCUCCAGGCAGAUUUAAAUAAAGCUAUUGCAAUGAUCAGCAUUGAUGUUUUGCACUUGGUAUGAGAUUGCAUGUGCUCUAGUUAUAUGCUAAAAUUGUCAUAUCAUGAGGAUAUUGGUCAUUUAGUUCUGUGAUUAGGUUUUUCUUUGUCAGGAUAUAUAUAGAAAAAUUGCUAACAUGUAUGUAAAUGAAUUAGCAGGCCCAUGUCAAGGCAAAAUCUGAUGGCAGCUUAGUGCUUUAGGAGAAAUAGCGCCUGUGUGUUUGUCUCCUUUCUCCUUUCCUUAACACUACCUCUUUCUUCCCUAUUUUCCCUCCCUCAACUUUUACCAUUUUUAUAGUUUAGGAUGUUGCCAUUUUU